rnacentral:lncRNA from 12 species
UUAAUCUAUUUUCCUCUUGUACUAUGGGUGUGGCAGACGAACUGUGUGAAGAGCUCUUCCGUUGGAUUGAUCAGCAGAAGCGAUGUGCAGAUCAUCUCAAGGCUUUGGCCACCGAGCUGGAGGACAUGAGGGAGGUGAUGACUGCAGGCCAGUUGGUGGGAAACACAGCAACUGUGCUUGGGUCUGCCGCUCUUGUUGGGACAGGCAUUGCAACAAUUCUGACUGGAGGCCUGGCUGCACCCUCGCUGGCACUGGCAGCUGGAAUCACAGCCGGAGUGGGUACUGCAACUAGUCUUACACUUACGCUUGUGGAGAAAUGGAAAUCCAGUAAAACAAUGGAAAAUGCAGAGAAGACUGCUGACAAAAUCAAACAGAUUCAGAACAAUAUCGAAAGGCUCCAGAAGAAACUCCAGAAGGAGUGUGAGAGUGAAGGGUUUGAAGUGUCAUCGUCCGAUGACGUGCAGUGUGAAAUCACAGCGAGGAUCCUGAGAGCCUUGGCCAAACGCAGUGGUAGAGAUCUGCCCCUCAGUCGCCUAAGACACCUCUUGAGAAGUGAUGGCAUGUAUACACAUAACAGAUAUCCAAAGUUUAUUCUAGACGGUGCAUUCUUCUACACCGUCAGUUCUUUCAUAGCAUACCUUGGAUAUUCUGCCAUCUUUCUGAAAACAGCAGCAACAAAAGGACAAAAAUAUUAUGCUCCAUUUCUUGUGAAAGCUACUAAAGAAAUGGCUGAUCUUUCACUGAAAACUGUGUUAAAGGGAACAGGCCAGGCCGCAGGAGGAAUCUUUGGGCUGAUAUUAACAGUUCCUGAUCUGAUUGAUAACUGUGAAGAACUGAUUAAAAACAAACAUCAGACUGAAGCUAGCACAUAUCUGAAGACAAAAGCUGAUGAAAUCCGUGAGACCGUGAAGAAAUUUAAAAAGCCAUUGAAUGAAUUGCAAGACAUGCUCAAUCAAAUCCCUGAAAUGGAGUGUCACAUUGAUUUGGCUCAGGAGAUGUUUGGAUCUCAAAUAUACACUCGAGGCACCAUCUGUAUGGAGUAUAAACAGAGCCAAAAGCAGGACAGGAAGACACAGGGGUUUAUUCUCCUAUGCACAAAACACAUAGGAGUAACUAAGAAUUGUUCCACAGGCAAAGACAAAUCAGGUGACAACAAGAACAAAAGACGGAAGAAGAAGACUACUUCAACUGUAGACAGGAGCCUUAACCAGGAGAGGAAACCUGCUUUUCAGAAGGAGCUCCAAGAAAUGAUGGAAGAUGUGGAAAACGUUAAUUCCGAUCUGAUGUUCUUCACAGAGACAUGGUUGAACAGGAACUCGCCCAGCAUUAACUUCGAUAGAUAUAAGUCUUUCCGGGUUGAUCGUGAUGCAUGGCUUACUAAGAAAAGUAAAGGAGGGGGAUUGAUGGUGCUUGUGAACAAGGCUUGGGCGACUGAUGUGGAGGUGGAAAACAUCAUGAUUACUCCAGAUUAUGAGUUAAUGGUUGUGUCCAUUAUACCACAUGACCACCCUGAGGAUGCGCCACCACUUACCUUCAUCCAUGUGUAUAUCCCUCCAAGAACUAAUAUGACUCGAGCUGCCAUUGACAUCGCUGCUGUUUACUAUGAUGUUCUGGAGCAGUAUCCUGGUGGUCCUGUUUUCUUGUUGGGUGAUUUCAACCACUGUGACAUCACUCAUCUCUUAGACCUGGAGCAAUAUGUCACAUGCCCAACCAGAAACAGUAACACCCUGGAUCAAUGCUAUGGGAAUGUGCCAGAGGCUUAUAGAUCUGAAUGCAGACCCCCGCUUGGCCGGUCAGACCACAAUGUCAUUCAUUUGAUUCCUAAAAAGAAGUCAGAUGGAAGUGACCCUUCUAAAGAUGAGAAGUGUAGACAUGACAGUACCAAAUCCAGAAAGCAAUGAGAGGCUGCGCAACAGUUCUCUGUUGUUUUCAUGUAGCACACCAGGGUCCUAGAGGAACAUCGGUUAGUUUCACUGUGUGCUGUGCUAGUAUAUGAUAGCUUGUUUCGUCCGAUAGAUGUAGGUGGUGUCUAACUACUUUCAAUUAACUUACUGAGUAUAAAACCUCAUUGAGAAAGAAGAAGACAGGAUAAUAGUGGGGAAUGGCAUGAAAACUGGCACAACAAUGAGGAACAACAAGAGGGAAAAAAAUUCUCCUUUGAAUGAAGAAAAUUAAAUGCUUGAUAUGCUUAAAGGUACCCUUAAGUGCUUGGAAACACACAGAGUUAUUCUGUGUGGUGACGUAAUUUCGACUGAAACAGGAAGAGAUGGUGGGACAUAUCGAGCAGCCCGCCCGGGAGGCCAGGAUGUUAGUUGAAGGAAAUGCCUUGUAUACUAAAUCCCCAGGAAGAAUGGUUGAGUGGGUUCACUGUAAACCAUUCACCUUCUUGAACUCUCUCAGUCUACUUUUAUUUGAUAUUGAUAAACACACACCAGUUAGUAUCUAACUUUGAGUGCAAUCCUAAUCAUAAACCAUCAUAGCCUACAACGUAAAACAUUGAGCAUAUAUAUAUAUAUAUUUAACAGAGUGUGUGUGUUGGGGUGGGGGGGGGUGUUUAGGUAACAGUUAACAUUUAUAGUCACUAAACAGUCUCUAAGUAAUCAUUCAUGCUACAGUAUGUAGACUGAUCAUGUUAGGCCACAAGGCAUUCAAAGAGGGUGAGUAUAUACAAUAUACAAUAUAGGACAAGUAUAUACAAUAAAUGUACUCUAAACAUAAGCAUGUCCUCUUCUUGUCCACUCACUAUCCAGAAGGAGAUAUUUUCUUAGUGUUAUGCUGCGUUCACACCAAACGCGAAUAGAGCGUCAAAUUCGCGUCUACCGCGUCUAGUUUGCCGCUUGAACAUUUUGAAUGCAUUCGCGCGUCUAGAGCGAAAUGGACGCGCGUAGAAAGCAAGAGUUUGAAGCGAAAUUGACACGCGUCCGAGGCAAAAUCCGCUUCUUGUGGGAGGGGCAAGUGCUAGGCGGUUGUCUGUUUGCAUGAUGGCUGAUGUUGAUCGAGCAUUCGAGGCUUUUCCACUUUUUCCUGCACACGUCCUCUGAAUAAACAUCUUGUUAGCGAAAAGUAGCUGNUAUUCGCGCGAACUAGACGCGCAAAUGAGGCGAAUUCGCGUCUGCCGCGCUAAACGCCUCAUUCGCCCCGCGAGACCAGACCAUAGACUGUAAAAAAAUAUGGACGUAGUAUCCGUGACGUCACCCAUAGACUUCUCAAUAGCGGNGUGCUUACAAGUAAGAUCAGUUCAAAGAACAACUGCCUGCUAAAAAAAAAUAAUAGUUGGCUAGAUAUAUGCACAAUUUAAUUUGGUUUAUUACUAUUACUGCUCUGAUUGUAUGGUUAUAAUGUUAUAUAUUUCUAUACAUUAUAUCCAGUUGUAUACAUGUAAUUAAAAUAUAUAUAUAUUUUGUCAUCAAAAGUUUAAUGUACAAUUUGGGAUAAUACAUUUUGAUGUGGUACUGAGAGAGUAUAAAUAUAGUUAGAACAAAAAAAUAAAUAAAUAAAUGGAUACUUGUCCAUGACUAAACAUCUGAAGGUAAGUUAAAAGAAAGAGCACAACUUUACAAUCCGUAUCCAGUCUCAUCGCUCAAUCAGUGCUUCAGCAUCACAAAGACGCCAAUAUAACUGCUUGUAAACAAUGUCACGUAACGUCACAUUUACCUCAGAAACAAACAUAUUCGGUAACCAUAAACUCAUUAGUCAGAAAAAUAAACUGUAGAGAGGGGCAUAUAACAUAUUCAUUAUAAACUUUACUGUUCUCCAAUGUUUAAUUUAUGUUUGAGAAAAUAUAUAAUUUUUUUAUUACAGCCACCAUUUGGUUUAUAUUUAAAAAUAAAAAUAAUAAUAAUUAAAGUAGAAAUAUUAUUAUGCAAUUGUAACUUUAUUAUUUAAAAAACUUAAGUGUAAUAUUAGCCUUCAAUAUUAUAGUUCUAAGAAAUGACUCUCAUGUAUAUUUUACAGCAUUUUUUUCCUUGAGAAAAUUUGGCAUGUACUGUACCUGAUAAAUAUCCAAAUAAUCGACAUUGAAUCGAAUCAGUAAUCAAAUCAAAUCGCGAGCUUGUGAAUGAGAAUUGAAUCGAAUUGUUAGAAUGAGCUUUUAAGUUGUUUUUGUUCAGGUGCUCAGUUCAGUACGAAUCAUUUCAUUAUAACUAGAGAGUCAUUGUGCAGUGUAGAGAAUCUAAUUGAUUAUCACCUAACUUCGUGAGAUCGUGAGUGAUUAUAAAGGAAGUGUUUAUUGAUUGACAGGUCUCCUGUCCCCGUGUUGAGAUAAAUCAGAUGUUACUGUAGUUCUAAAAUAAAUGUGAAUAUGCAUUAAUUCAGCUCACUCACAAAAAACAACACAGAUUCAGUAUUCCUCAAAAUGAAUAAAAAUAAUGCAACUCAGAAUAUGACGCAAACCUGCAAUAAUUAAAUGUUAAACAACACAAAUAUCCUUUAUGUAUUUAAUCCCAUUCUAUUAACUGAUGUCUUUGCUUCUGACCUUUGAUGAUCCAGUUCAACCAUACUAAUAAGCAAAAUUAUACUCUAGACAAACAUUAGUGUGUCUUUUUUUUAUUGCUUAAGUGUGUUGAAAUUUCUUUUUCUGCUUUUUCUGCGUAUUAAUUUUACUUUUGCUGUGAAAAGCCUAUUAUAUUUGCCAAAAAUAUAACUUUUUUAUUUUAAAAACAAACAAGCCAGCCCUGUACAGAUUUAAAAAGUAACGCAAAAGUAACAUAAUGCAUUACGUUCCAUAAAAGGUAACGUAAUUAGUUACUUUUUUUAAUGAAGAAACGCAAUAUUGUAAUGCAUUUCUUUUAAAAGUAAGUUUCCCCAGCACGGUGCACAGCAGUGCCCAGCAGCUCAGUCGUAAACAUCACACUGAACUAUUUGUGUUAUCAGAUCUGGGAAGACUGCCAAAUAUGUGAGUUAGAAAACAUCACACUGAGGCACUUUGCUGCAUAUCAAGAACAUUAACCCUGAUGAAGACGAACAAGAUGCAGUUGAAGCAUUUCACCAAGAAAUGACUACUUUAAUCAACUUUAUCAAUACUAAUUUCAGUCUUACAUCAGGUGGGUCAGGUUGCAGGCCCAGAAAGGGAUGAAGGACACUUCUAACACCAGGCCUGAUCAGAGUGCUGAUGUCAGGCAAACGGCCGACACAGAAAGAUUCAUUUUUAUUUAUUUUUUAUAUAUAUAGCAUUUUUUACGAUCCAAAUUGUGUCAAAGCAGCACAGUGGG